rnacentral:rRNA from 1 species
AUGCGACCGUUGCAAUCCAAGGUCGCCGGCGCUGUUAGGCCGGAGUUGGGAGGCCGUGAUGAAGUUUCGGGGAAGUCCAAUGCCUCAUGUGCGGCCAGUGCGGCGUCCGCUACGCCGCCGCGACCUGCAACACUUUGGGGCGAACAUCAUCGUAACCUUUUCCCUCCGCACAAGUUUUCCGCCUCGCUCGCGAGAAGUUCAUGCGACCAGCCAUCUCUCAUCGCUAUUUUACAGCGGGAUGCCAUCCGUCGAUUUGCAGAGAAAACAGAAGUUCAGUGCAUACGUCCUUCAAUUCACCAUCUCUCACAUUGUUAG